rfam:Ovis aries breed Texel chromosome 1, whole genome shotgun sequence.
UCCCUGGUGGCUCAGAGGUUAAAGCAUCUGCCUGCAAUGCGGGACACCUGGGUUUGAUCCCUGGGUGGGGAA